rnacentral:lncRNA from 1 species
GUGCCUUUUGUCUCUAACCUUUUCCAGCUGAGUUAUCUUUCAUGUCAUCUAUGAUCUCCCUUACAGGCAGGAGACAGGCAACGCUCUACCUCGUCGGGAGCUAUCUGUGUGCUCAUCAGCCAGCCAGGAUGCACUUGCUGACUCGGUGACUGUAGACUGCCAUGGUGUUCAAAAUCUUCAAGAAAAGGAGCAAUGGGAGGUUUCCUGGGCAACCCACCAAACGAAAAUAACAUUCAUGGAGCUGGACAGAAUCGAGGAGAGGGACCACCUAAAACCAAACCAUAUGACUGGGAGCAUCAUCCAGACACUCAAACAUGGUGAGUCAAGAUUUGCUUUUCCUGGAUCAACUGCAUGACUCCACAAC